CCCUGGUUUGUGGUGUCCGAUGUGACGGGUGUUGGUGUGGCUUUGUCCCAGAGCUGCUCUGUCCUGCCGCAUGGGUGGGUGUAGGGGUAAUAGAAGAAGCCCCUGGGGCCUGAACUGGGUGAUGUCAGGUGGAGUUGUGGUGUGGAGGGCAUUCGUCGGUUGGCAGCACGCGUCUGUCGCUGUCAAGUUCCCGUGCCGCAGUGUGACUUUGUUCCUGUGUGUGUUUCAGAUGCGGAUGGAUUCACUUGAUGGCAGAGGGCCCCAUCCCGGGUGAGGGGGUAUCCCCAGAAGAGGAACUGAAGCGGGAUGUCAUCUGUCAAGGUGAAGCGGAGCAGGAGAUGUCACUUUCCACGGAGCUGCCCUCAGCAAGCAGAGGAUGGAUGCGGUUUGCCUGUCUCCUGAGACCUGUGGGGAGCAGAAGAGGAGUGUGUGAUGAAGCCUUGCUAUUUUCCAUUUGAAGGUGCCAUCCAGGUCCACCCCGUGACGACGGCAGGGGGCUCGGAGCGUGGCUGAGACGUGCGGGGCGAGGACAUGGGUAUUCUUAGGAGACGCUGAGGAAGAGACACCAGCCCAGUGGGAGCUGAGGUCCACCCCGUGACGACGGCAGGGGGCUCGGAGCGCGGCUGAGGCGGGCAGGGCGAGGACGUAGGUAUUCUUAGGCGACGCUGAGGAAGAGACACCAGCCCAGUGGGAGCUGAGGUCCACCCCAUGAUGACAGCAGGGGGCUCGGAGCGCGGCCGAGGCGUGCGGGGCGAGGACGUAGGUAUUCUUAGGCGACGGUGAGUGUCCUAAUGGUGAGGUUUUGGUCCAUGUGCUGCCAUGUGCAUGCUUUGAUGUUUGGUUUUGUUUGUUGUAGCUGAGGAAGAGACACCAGCCCAGUGGGAGCUGAGGUCCACCCCGUGACGACGGCCGGGGGCUCGGAGCGCGGCCGAGGCGUGCGGGGCGAGGACGUAGGUAUUCUUAGGAGACGCUGAGGAAGAGACACCAGGCCGGUGGUGGCAGGACUUUCCCAGAGGGCGAGGCGGCGUUCCUUGGCACUGAUGUGGAUGGUGAUCACCGGACCUCCCAGAGCUAAGUGGAGGGCUCGAGGCACAGAGGGGAUGAGAGCAGGGUGCUGGGUUGGGAGUUGCUGGGGGGGAUUGAGUUCAGUAUGGAUCUGGAGAUGUGCAGGAUGUGAGUGCUUAGGGCACAUGAAAGGCAAGUGUCAUUUCUGAUUGUAAUGCUGAGACGGGCAGAGCAGUCCCGGGCACAUGGUGUCUGUUGUCCACUCUGUGUGUGUCAGGCAUCUCAUCUUUCACGUCUUUUCCCAUAGGUCCUCAAGGGGCCUGUGGGGAACCCUGGGAUCACUGUUAGCAUUUCUGAUGUCUGCCUUCCUGGCUCCAGUGGCUUUGACUGGAGAGCUGGGACUUAGAUCUGAACCUCAUCUCUGUUCAGAGUCAUCCAGUGCGAUGUCUUUUGUGGUCUUGUUCUGAGCUGUACAGACAGCCGUGCCCCGCCACGAUCCAUUUUGGCGGGUUAGGACUUGUUUAGAAGUCCAAGCUAGGUCUUGGCUUGUGAGCGGAGGAGCGUCGGGCAUCCAUCUUUGUGAUUCUCGGAAGGCAUCAUCUUGUUAGCAUUCUCUUCCUGUAGGGUUCUGUGAGCCUGGCCAGCUCACCUUGUUUCUUCCGUUUGUCAUCUCAUUCUGCGUUCUCUCUGUCCUCCCGGUCGUUCUUCUUGCGGAGAGCUUUUUGUUGUUGUGGUGUCCCCUGGUUUGUGGUGUCCGAUGUGACGGGUGUUGGUGUGGCUUUGUCCCGGAGCUGCUCUGUCCUGCCGCAUGGGUGGGUGUAGGGGUAAUAGAAGAAGCCCCUGGGGCCUGAACUGGGUGAUGUCAGGUGGAGUUGUGGUGUGGAGGGCAUUCGUCGGUUGGCAGCACGUGUCUGUCGCUGUCAAGUUCCCGUGCCGCAGUGUGACUUUGUUCCUGUGUGUGUUUCAGAUGCGGAUGGAUUCACUUGAUUGCAGAGGGCCCCAUCCCAGGUGAGGGGGUGUCCCCAGAAGAGGAACUGAAGCGGGAUGUCAUCUGUCAAGGUGAAGCGGAGCAGGAGAUGUCACUUUCCACGGAGCUGCCCUCAGCAAGCAGAGGAUGGAUGCGGUUUGCCUGUCUCCUGAGACCUGUGGGGAGCAGAAGAGGAGUGUGUGAUGAAGCCUUGCUAUUUUCCAUUUGAAGGUGCCAUCCAGGUCUACCCCAUGAUGACGGCAGGGGGCUCGGAGCGCGGCCGAGGCGUGCGGGGCAAGGACGUAGGUAUUCUUAGGAGACGCUGAGGAAGAGACACCAGGCCGGUGGUGGCAGGACUUUCCCAGAGGGCGAGGCGGUGUUCCUUGGCACUGAUGUGGAUGGUGAUCACUGGACCUCCCAGAGCUAAGUGGAGGGCUUGAGGCACAGAGGGGAUGAGAGCAGGGUGCUGGGUUGGGAGUUGCUGGGGGGGAUUGAGUUCAGUAUGGAUCUGGAGAUGUGCAGGAUGUGAGUGCUUAGGGCACAUGAAAGGCAAGUGUCAUUUCUGAUUGUAAUGCUGAGACAGGCAGGGCAGAGCAGUCCCGGGCACGUGGUGUCUGUUGUCCACUCUGUGUGUGUCAGGCAUCUCAUCUUUCACGUCUUUUCCCAUAGGUCCUCAAGGGGCCUGUGGGGAACCCUGGGAUCACUGUUAGCAUUUCUGAUGUCUGCCUUCCUGGCUCCAGUGGCUUUGACUGGAGAGCUGGGACUUAGAUCUGAACCUCAUCUCUGUUCAGAGUCAUCCAGUGCGAUGUCUUUUGUGGUCUUGUUCUGAGCUGUACAGACAGCCGUGCCCCGCCACGAUCCAUUUUGGCGGGUUAGGACUUGUUUAGAAGUCCAAGCUAGGUCUUGGCUUGUGAGCGGAGGAGCGUCGGGCAUCCAUCUUUGUGAUUCUUGAAGUGAUUCAUCUUGUUAGCAUCCUCUUCUUGUAGGGUUCUGUGAGCCUGGCCAGCUCACCUUGUUUCUUCCGUUUGUCAUCUCAUUCUGCGUUCUCCCGGUCGUUCUUCUUGCGGAGAGCUUUUUGUUGUUGUGGUGUCCCCUGGUUUGUGGUGUCCGAUGUGACGGGUGUUGGUGUGGCUUUGUCCCGGAGCUGCUCUGUCCUGCCGCAUGGGUGGGUGUAGGGGUAAUAGAAGAAGCCCCUGGGGCCUGAACUGGGUGAUGUCAGGUGGAGUUGUGGUGUGGAGGGCAUUCGUCGGUUGGCAGCACGCGUCUGUCGCUGUCAAAUUCCCGUGCUGCAGCGUGACUAUUUUCCUGACUUUGUUUCAGAUGCAGAUGGAUUCAAUCCGUGGCAGAGCGCCUCAUCCUGGGUGAGGGGGUUCCUCUGUGAAGGUGUAAGUCACUGUCUUAGCUGGGGUAGUGUAAAUAAUGACUGUGUAAGAGUUCUUUUUUUCUCUUUACUUUCAGGAAGUGAUGGUAGAUGUCAGCUCUCAAGGUGAAGUGGAGCAGGUGAACUGUGAUUGUUGGAGAGAAGCAGUUGCUAUUGCUGAAGUCUUACUUGAUCAUGCAUGUCUAAGCAUCCCCUUUUGUGUUUUAUGGGGUCUACUUGCAUGACACCAUUCUGUCACAAACCAGGUGCUGGUUUCUGUUUGGAAUUUUAGCUGGCUGCCAUCCCUUUGCUGGCCCAUGGCCUUAGACAGAAGCAGUGUCCCUUCUCCAUGGGCAUGCCGAUUCACCCUCCCCUGUUCCUGAUGUGAUUUUGUAGGAGGCAUUUGGUACUCCAAGUUAGACAUGUAAGUGUUGUCUCUGCCAGCUUUUGCCAGCCCUGUAAGCCUGCUUCCCUUCCCUUUCUGCAGCAUGUGUCUGUCCUGGUCUUAGAAUUUGUGCAUGCUUUGCAACGGAAUGUUUCAUUUAGCAUCAAUCAUGGACAUUGCUGAGCAAUUGUGUCUGUGUCUUCUUUCAUUCAUGAACUCUUCACCACUCGAUGGGGACUCUCCCAGACAUUUUAUGAUUGAAAUCCGUUCACCCGUGAGUGAAGAACACAAAGGGCAAGAGGUUUUCUGCCUGUCCUGUUUUUUUUAAGGUGUAGGUGAAAUCUAAGCUCCAGUACCCUCUGCCGUGCAGCUCCUUUGGCCUAUCCCACGGUCCAUGAAGUAAGCACGUAUAAAAGCUGGGCCAAGUUUCCCUGCACAGUUUUAGUUUGUCUGUUGCAGCCCUGAGCAGGUGUCUAAAAUAAGUAAAAACCCCCUGGUGCCUCCGUCUCCCCCCUAGGCAGGGAUGCAGGGGCAGCAGCACCCCUGAAACGAUGUCCCAAACAGAGAGCCUUCCCAGGCCCUUGGAGAAGAGCUGAAGGGGUAAGAAGAGAGGGCAGGAAAGCCUUGGUACCUUCCGUGAGAGCGCCUGUGUCCCUGUGCCCUGCAAAAGCAGCAAGGGCCAGCAUCCCUGUGAUUUUGAGAUGAGGCCAAGGGAAACGUGCGGCACCGUGGGUUCUUUGUGUAGUCGGUCGUUUUCCCGUUUCCCCAUUGGUCCCUUUUGGAUCCUUGCUCCGAUUGGUCGUUUUGAAAUUCAUUCACCCCAUUGGUGUGAGUGUCAAAGCCACCUCGUUCCCUGUGAAAGGGGGUUGUGGGAGGUCAGUUGGGCGUGGGUUCCA